rnacentral:rRNA from 1 species
AUUGAACGCUGGCGGCGUGCUUAACACAUGCAAGUCGAACGAUGAACCCGGAGCUUGCUCCGGUGGAUUAGUGGCGAACGGGUGAGUAACACGUGAGUAACCUGCCAUUGACUCUGGGAUAACUGCGGGAAACUGUAGCUAAUACCGGAUACGACCCUCGGCGGCAUCGCCAGGGGGUGGAAAGAAUUUCGGUCAAGGAUGGACUCGCGGCCUAUCAACUAGUUGGUGAGGUAACGGCUCACCAAGGCGACGACGGGUGGCCGGCCUGAGAGGGUGGCCGGCCAAACUGGGACUGAGACACAGCCCAGACUCCUGCGGGAGGCAGCAGUGGGGAAUAGUGCACGAUGAGCGCAAGCCUGAUGCAGCAACGCCGCGUGAGGGAUAGCGGCCUUCGGGUUGUAAACCUCUUUUAGUAGGGAAGAAGCGAAAGUGACGGUACCUGCAGAAAAAGCACCGGCUAACUACGUGCCAGCAGCCGCCGUAA